UAGCCUAGUGGUUAAGGCUAUGGAUCGUUAAUCCAGAGACGGCGGGUUCGAUUCCCGU
rfam:Aedes albopictus isolate Foshan contig38092, whole genome shotgun sequence.